UACGUAGGGCGCAAGCGUUGUCCGGAAUUAUUGGGCGUAAAGAGCUCGUAGGCGGCUUGUCACGUCGAUUGUGAAAGCCCGAGGCUUAACCUCGGGUCUGCAGUCGAUACGGGCUAGCUAGAGUGUGGUAGGGGAGAUCGGAAUUCCUGGUGUAGCGGUGAAAUGCGCAGAUAUCAGGAGGAACACCGAUUGCGAAGGCAGCUCGCUGGGACGUAACUGACGCUGAGACGCGAAAGCGUGGGGAGCAAACAGG
rnacentral:rRNA from 1 species